UAUCUACUCCCUCCGUUCCGAAUUACUUGUCGCAGAUAUGGAUGUAUCUAUAUGUAUUUUAGUUCUAGAUACAUCCAUUUCUAUGACGAGUAAUUUGGAAUGGAGGGAGUAGUUU
rnacentral:pre_miRNA from 1 species